GACGAACGCCGGCGGCGUGCUUAACACAUGCAAGUCGAGCGGUAAGGCCUCUUCGGGGGUACACGAGCGGCGAACGGGUGAGUAACACGUGGGUGACCUGCCCUCAGCUCUGGGAUAAGCCUGGGAAACUGGGUCUAAUACCGGAUAUGACCACAUGUUGCAUGGUGUGUGGUGGAAAGUUUUUUCGGCUGGGGAUGGGCCCGCGGCCUAUCAGCUUGUUGGUGGGGUGAUGGCCUACCAAGGCGACGACGGGUAGCCGGCCUGAGAGGGCGACCGGCCACACUGGGGCUGAGGCACGGCCCAGACCUCUACGGGAGGCAGCAGUGGGGAAUAUUGCGCAAUGGGCGGAAGCCUGACGCAGCGACGCCGCGUGGGGGAUGACGGCCUUCGGGUUGUAAACCUCUUUCGACCGGGACGAAGCGUAAGUGACGGUACCGGUAGAAGAAGCACCGGCCAACUACGUG
rnacentral:rRNA from 1 species